GUGCUCGCUUCGGCAGCACUUAUACUAAAAUUGGAAUGAUACAGAGAUUAGCACGGCCCCUGCUCAAGGAUGACAUGCAAAUUCGUGAAGUGUUCUAUAUUAAA
rnacentral:snRNA from 1 species